UCAGCCCCUGCCCUUGCCCCUCUGCCGCCCUCGGGCUCCUGAGACCCCCGGCUCCUUCCUGCGGGAGCUCCCGGAGUGGCGAGCAGCGGGGUGACUGGGACUCUGUGUCAUUCCGGAGGCUCUGCACUGCCUGAUGCUGUGUGCGCACCCCUUCAGUGCGUGCUCUUACCCGCAUCUUGAAACCGGGGAGAAUAUACCUACAGAGAAGAAGCACAUGGCAGUGGAGUUCUCGGAAUUGCCCUGUGUGCUCUGUCUCCUGUGUACCGCACUUAAGUUUCACAUAGGUCAGGAGCAUGGAGCUUUCCCUGUCUUCUGCAGCCCUGAACAGGUUCGUUUGCCUGCCAAAUAAGCCAUGGCUAGGUAUCCACAUUUCCUCCACCUCCCCCACACGUUCUGGACCCAUUUCUACAUAGAGGUUGCAAAAUAGAAGAUGUUAUCAGGAUUGAUGUGGCUGCUCCCAUCUGCUCCCCCAAAUGAUGAGGUCUGCAGUACGAUUGGAAUAAAGUCUACUCCUACAGAACCCUACAGAAACAAUCCAGGAUUCUUUUAUGCUUUUCCAGUCCUCUCUUGUUUUCUUUCCCCUCCGCCCAUACCCACCUCUCAUGGAGCAGAAGUGGAACAGAACUACCACAUGUAUGCUGAAAAUCCAAAGGCCAGAUUUUGGGUAAUUGCAUUUAACUGUUCCUUUAAUGCCCAUUUUACAGCAAGAAAUACGGUCUACAAUCAUAAAUCCAAGCAUAGGUUCAUGCAGGCUUAUUAUAACAAACUUCAAGGUGUCAAGAUUAAAAGCACUGGCAAGCAUUAGUUAGGGUCUGGAUGCCUGCUUGAGUGUUAUUGUUUUGGUUAAAAAUGUUAUUUCAGAAUGUUAUAAUUUCUACCCAAAAUCACUAGUCCAGUUAAGCAGCAGACUGUCUCUGUACUGACAUGACCACAGAAAUGAUAUUAUUACUGUCCUAACAAACAGCCUCAGAAAAAUGUACCACGAGUGAAAGGAACGGUGUGUUUUUCACUCUGUCCUGUUACAGGCAGUGUCCUUCCUAGAAGGUUCAUUCCUUUAAGACGGAAUGAAAUGACAAAACGACAGAAAAUACAAGUGGGAACAAAGGGAAUCGGGAGAGGUGUGAGUGUGCAGAGUAUGGCAGGCAGCGCUUUUCUCUGAUCUCCGUGCUGACCAAGCCCUCAGUGCUAGAGGGCUCUGUCUGCUUGUUCCGAGGAGUUCCUCUCUCUCCGAGGACAGACUCUGCCAGCGACUGCUGAAUUUUCUCUCCUUGCUGUCAUUCCUCUCGCACGCCGCAUCUCUUGCGCGGAGGGGAAGCUGGACGGGCAGAGCACGGAGGGAAGCUGGACGGGCAGCGGCUCGCUCUCCAUCCAUCCAUCCAUCCAUCCAUCCAUCCAUCCAUCCAUCCAUCCCCGGUGCCAGGCUCCGGGAGCGCCGCCGCCGCCGCCAGGUGUCCCCUGGCAGCCGCCCCGGGGCCGCGCUCUCGCUCCGGCUUUGCUGGACUCGCCCGUGUAGUCCCUGAUCCACCUCGGCUGCGGCUGAUUUUCCCCCGCCUGCACCCUCAGUGCAGCUAAAUGGUUCUUUUAUAAGCUUGGCUACAUUUCAUGUGCAAACUUAGGAAGGCGGUAGCGCGCUGUACUAAUAGCUGCAAUGUUUUGUAUGCUAAGAACAAUAUUUUCAUAUACUUACUCUGCUUUCUUUUAAAGUCUCGUUUUAUUAAACACUUUGGAUGCAAAUCAGCUUCCUCCAAGAAUAUUUCGGUGUUUCACCUACUAUCCUAAAGAACACUGCUUAAAAAAACCCCCUGACAUCUUAUCUGUAAGUCAUGGUAUUUCCUUAUCCCCUAAAAAAAUGAUACUCAGUCCCUACUGAAUGCAGGGGUGAGAUUGACUCCUUCCUGUACAUAGGGUGCAUUCACCCCUCUGCAUACUCUCCUGUCUAAAGGGGCUUAAUCUGGAUGUGAGAAAUGCUUAGGUGUGUGCUGUGUGAUGCCUCUGAGGCUGACAUCCACCAUUAAAGAGCAAACUGUGGUAAUGGCUGAGAAUUAAAAAAAAAAAAAAAAAGUAUUUCUCAGCUGACAGAAUGUACUUUGUGAUGGAGC